UUGACCAAGUUCUAUAUUCUCCACAACUAACUUUAAGCCCACUACGUUUUACCCAUGAAACACGGCAUAUGAGGAGACAUUCACAAAAAAGCUCCUAGAGCUAUACGAAAAAUCCUCACUAAAAAUACACGAAAUAAAUCUCGGAAGGACAACUCUUCACAAAGCACAGUGAAGGAAACCGCUUAUUCCCAGGGACAAAUUUACACUACCCCUUGGUCCUAGUUCAUCGAUCACGAAUCAAACAAUUUAAUAUCAAAAUAGAAACAACAGUUUUGGCUGAGAAACACCCGCAAACAAACAAAAACGUUUCUUUGUCGCAAAGUUAAAACAAAACCCUUUGCCACUGCAAAACAUCUCUGAGCCCGGAAACGUUUCAAACAAGAAACACGGCAUACAAAAGAGAUCUUCUAAAGAAGGAUGCUUUCAAUUAAUUUGCUACACAAACAAACUUCGUCUGCGAAGCCUCCGCAAACAAACCAAAGUAUUU
rnacentral:lncRNA from 1 species